ACGUGGCACAGGUGCUGCAUGGCUGUCGUCAGCUCGUGUCGUGAGAUAUCGCGUUAAGUCGUUGGACGAGGGACACCCUUGUCCUUAGUUGCCCGCGGGUCAAGCCGGGGACUCUAGGGAGACUGCCGGUGUCAAACCGGAGGAAGGUGGGGACCACGUCAAGUCAUCAUGGCCUUUAUGCCCAGGGCUGCACACGUGCUACAAUGGUGCGUACAGAGGGACGCGAACCCGCGAGGGCAAGCAAACCCCAAAAAGCGCGCCUUAGUUCGGAUUGCAGGCUGCAACUCGCCUGCAUGAAGCCGGAAUCGCUAGUAAUCGCAGGUCAGCUAUACUGCGGUGCAUAUGUUCCUGAGCCUUGUACACACCGCCCGUCAAGCCACGAAAGCGGGGGCACCCGAAGUCGCCGAGCUAACUUCCGGGAGGCAG
rnacentral:rRNA from 1 species